rnacentral:rRNA from 1 species
UACAGAGGUCUCGAGCGUUGUUCGGAUUCAUUGGGCGUAAAGGGUGCGUAGGUGGCGCCGUAAGUCGGGUGUGAAAUUUCGGAGCUUAACUCCGAAACUGCAUUCGAUACUGCGGUGCUUGAGGACUGGAGAGGAGACUGGAAUUCACGGUGUAGCAGUGAAAUGCGUAGAUAUCGUGAGGAAGACCGGUGGCGAAGGCGGAUCUCUGGACAGUUCCUGACGCUGAGGCGCGAAGGCCAGGGGAGCAAACGGG